GGAAUGAGCGGCGGACGGGUGAGUAACACGUGGGCAACCUGCCUGUAAGACUGGGAUAACCCCGGGAAACCGGGGCUAAUACCGGAUAAUACUUUCUUUUGCAUAAAGGAAAGUUGAAAGGCGGCUUCGGCUGUCACUUACAGAUGGGCCCGCGGCGCAUUAGCUAGUUGGUGAGGUAACGGCUCACCAAGGCGACGAUGCGUAGCCGACCUGAGAGGGUGAUCGGCCACACUGGGACUGAGACACGGCCCAGACUCCUACGGGAGGCAGCAGUAGGGAAUCUUCCGCAAUGGACGAAAGUCUGACGGAGCAACGCCGCGUGAGUGAUGAAGGUUUUCGGAUCGUAAAACUCUGUUGUUAGGGAAGAACAAGUUGGGUAGUAACUGACCCAACCUUGACGGUACCUAACCAGAAAGCCACGGCUAACUACGUGCCAGCAGCCGCGGUAAUACGUAGGUGGCAAGCGUUGUCCGGAAUUAUUGGGCGUAAAGCGCUCGCAGGCGGUCCUUUAAGUCUGAUGUGAAAUCUCGCGGCUCAACCGCGAACGGUCAUUGGAAACUGGAGGACUUGAGUACAGAAGAGGAGAGUGGAAUUCCACGUGUAGCGGUGAAAUGCGUAGAGAUGUGGAGGAACACCAGUGGCGAAGGCGACUCUCUGGUCUGUAACUGACGCUGAGGAGCGAAAGCGUGGGGAGCGAACAGGAUUAGAUACCCUGGUAGUCCACGCCGUAAACGAUGAGUGCUAGGUGUUUAGGGGGUUUCCGCCCCUUAAUGGUUAAGUUAACGCAUUAAGCACUCCGCCCGGGGGAGUACGGCCGCAAGGCUGAAACUCAAAAGAAUUGACGGGGGCCCGCACAAGCGGUGGAGCAUGUGGUUUAAUUCGAAGCAACGCGAAGAACCUUACCAGGUCUUGACAUCCUCUGCUAUUCCUAGA
rnacentral:rRNA from 1 species